rnacentral:rRNA from 1 species
CCUACGGGAGGCAGCAGUGAGGAAUAUUGGACAAUGGGCGCAAGCCUGAUCCAGCCAUGCCGCGUGCAGGAUGACGGUCCUAUGGAUUGUAAACUGCUUUUGCACAGGAAGAAACACCCCCUCGUGAGGGGGCUUGACGGUACUGUGAGAAUAAGGAUCGGCUAACUCCGUGCCAGCAGCCGCGGUAAUACGGAGGAUCCAAGCGUUAUCCGGAAUCAUUGGGUUUAAAGGGUCCGUAGGCGGUCUUAUAAGUCAGUGGUGAAAUCUCCCCGCUCAACGGGGAAACGGCCAUUGAUACUGUAAGACUUGAAUUAUUAGGAAGUAACUAGAAUAUGUAGUGUAGCGGUGAAAUGCUUAGAGAUUACAUGGAAUACCAAUUGCGAAGGCAGGUUACUACUAAUGGAUUGACGCUGAUGGACGAAAGCGUGGGUAGCGAACAGGAUUAGAUACCCUGGUAGUCCACGCCGUAAACGAUGGAUACUAGCUGUUGGGAGCAAUCUCAGUGGCUAAGCGAAAGUGAUAAGUAUCCCACCUGGGGAGUACGUUCGCAAGAAUGAAACUCAAAUGAAUUGACGG